GAUCAACGCUGGCGGCGUGCAUGAGACAUGCAAGUCGAACGAAGGAUCGGGCUUGCUCGAUCCUUAGUGGCGGACGGCUGAGUAACGCGUAGGUGACCUACCCCGAAGUGGGGAAUAACUGCCCGAAAGGGUGGCUAAUACCGCAUGUGGUCGCACGUUCAUUCGUGCGAGUCAAGCCGCAAGGCGCUUCGGGAGGGGCCUGCGUCCGAUUAGCUCGUUGGUGGGGUAAUGGCUUACCAAGGCGACGAUCGGUAGGUGGUCUGAGAGGACGAUCACCCAGACUGGGACUGAGACACGGCCCAGACUCCUACGGGAGGCAGCAGUCGGGAAUUUUGCUCAAUGGGGGAAACCCUGAAGCAGCAACGCCGCGUGAGGGAUGAAGGCCUUCGGGUUGUAAACCUCUUUUGUCAGGGACGAUGAUGACGGUACCUGGCGAAUAAGCCACGGCUAACUACGUG
rnacentral:rRNA from 1 species